CACUUUUCUUGUUUUCCUCAAAGGAGAAAAUUAAAAAAAAAAAACAAAAACCAAACAAAAAAAAGUGAAAAAAUUGUAUAGUAAAAAAAAAGAAAAUUAUUUAUUGAAAUGUUUAUUAUUAAUAUACCUCUUCUUCUUUUAUAAAUUAUCUUUGUAAUAUUUAUAAGAAAAAAAUUAAUCAAAAUUUCGAGCAUCGAAGUGCCUUCCUGUCUGUUUGACGUACCGAAACUGUUCUAUAGAAGAAAAUUGGGACAUUUUUUUUUUUUUUUGCAUUAAUUUUAUCAAACACUGCCGUGAAUGUAUGGUUAUAUUACUUAAGUGCAGCAUUAAACUCAUGCAAUUUCUAUAAUAUAUUAACUAUCCUUCAGAAAACUUCAGCUAUCUUGAAGAAGAAAGAAACAGCAAACGUUCUUCCAUAUUUGUGUUUUGAAAUAAAUUUACGAUCUCCUCGAACAUGUUUUCGUAUUUUUUGGCGUUUUUCUAUGUAUUCCUCUUGCCGAGUAUAACUUCUUCUAAGAUUUCUUGCAUGCAUUACUGCAAAGAAAAUUCUUCGUUCUCCAACAGCGGCUGCACGCACUACGGAGAUGUGCAAUUGUAUAAAAAAAAAUGCAAUAUAAUAAAAAGACUGAAUCCGAAAAUAUACUUAUUAACGAAUCAACGUAUUCUAAAUAUUGUGAAGGUGAUUAUAUAAAUUUUAUAUAUUAAAUAAGAUUAAUAAUAAAAGUG
rnacentral:lncRNA from 1 species